AUUGAACGCUGGCGGCAGGCCUAACACAUGCAAGUCGAACGAGUGGCGGACGGGUGAGUAAUGUAUGGGAAUCUGGCUGAUGGAGGGGGAUAACUACGGGAAACUGUAGCUAAUACCGCAUACCAUCGGAUGAGCCCAAGUGGGAUUAGGUAGUUGGUGGGGUAAAGGCUCACCAAGGCGACGAUCUCUAGCUGGUCUGAGAGGAUGACCAGCCACACUGGGACUGAGACACGGCCCAGACCCCUACGGGAGGCAGCAGUGGGGAAUAUUGCGCAAUGGGGGCAAGCCUGAUGCAGCCAUGCCGCGUGGAUGAAGAAGGCCUUCGGGUUGUAAAGUUCUUUCGGCGGGGAGGCGUUACCUGCAGAAGAAGCACCGGCUAACUCCGUGCCAGCCGCCGCGGUAAUAC
rnacentral:rRNA from 1 species